UCACAUUCUUUACAUAUUAUUCUAUGAUAGAGUGAUGUAUACAAAAAAGAUAGAAUCUCAUUGACAAUGACCAAAUCCAUCUUUGUUGAUUCAAUAAUCACGAUUAUAGAGACUUGUAUUUACUAUCUAAACCUUUUCUACUUGGUUUUCUUCCCUUCUUUUCAUUUUAGGAAAGGAAACCCCUUUUUGAGGAAUCAUCUCUUCCUAUUAAUAAGGAAUAUCCCUAGAAAACCCUAGAAAAAUACAAUUAGAGGGAGUAUUCAGAAAAAUAUUCCAUUUGAAGAUUCCAAAGCAAAACUAGUUGUUACAUCUAUCUGCAAUGCUCGGCCUAACACAUCACUGAUCGACCUCGG
rnacentral:lncRNA from 1 species